CCAGACUCCUACGGGAGGCAGCAGUGAGGAAUAUUGGUCAAUGGGCGAGAGCCUGAACCAGCCAAGUCGCGUGAGGGAAGACGGUCCUAUGGAUUGUAAACCUCUUUUGCCGGGGAGCAAAAAGCGGUACGUGUACCGCAUCGAGAGUACCCGGAGAAAAAGCAUCGGCUAACUCCGUGCCAGCAGCCGCGGUAAUACGGAGGAUGCGAGCGUUAUCCGGAUUUAUUGGGUUUAAAGGGUGCGUAGGCGGGCUUUUAAGUCAGCGGUAAAAAUUCGGGGCUCAACCCCGUCCGGCCGUCGGAACUGCCGGGCUAGAGUGGGCGAGAAGUGCGCGGAAUGCGUGGUGUAGCGGUGAAAUGCAUAGAUAUCACGCAGAACUCCGAUUGCGAAGGCAGCGCACCGGCGCCCUACUGACGCUCAGGCACGAAAGCGUGGGUAUCGAACAGGAUUAGAUACCCCCGUAUA
rnacentral:rRNA from 1 species